AGUUCACUUUCGCGAAUGUAAGGAACCCAGCUUCUGUGUGGUGGGCACUGAGAGCAGAACCGCAUUGAGUCGGAGUGGAGCACGGAAGUGUAGGUCCUUUUGCGCUGUUUCAAGCUAAACCCGUGUCACUGAUGCGGUGCAGAAGUUACAGAAUGGGACGCCACCCCAAACAUUACGUCAUCCGCUGACCAUUUCCUCGCGGUCUUCCCACCGUCUAAAUCGCCAUAUAAUCUGAUGGAUGGGGUCCUCACGCGGGCCAGCUCCUGGGCGACAGCGUAACCCGUCGCUCCUCCCUCUGCGGGAGGGCGUGGACGGGGCACCGGAUUUGGAGCGUGGAAGGAAUCGGGACCUAAAGGUUGGGAAGAGCUCGCGGACCGGAAGCGGGGAAGGUGACGUAGGAGUGCCGGCGUGGCCUGGGCCAUUUCCAAAGAGGCCUUAAAGGGGCAACUGAUAGGCUUCCUAAGAGUCCCAGGACACCGGAACCAGGACUCCCCGGCGCGCCCGGAGAGUUUCCGAGCUCCUUUGAAGUAUGAAUCAGACUUCUGGAUGGGAAUCUUGGAGCCACCACUUGGCCUAUGGUCGCAAUGGGCAAGUCGCUCAACCUCCCAAAUCCUGUUUUCUCAUGAGUAAAACGGGGAUUAUAAUACCCACCUGACAAUAUUAUUUUUGUGAGAAUUAAAUGAGUUUAGAACGUAAA